GACGAACGCUGGCGGCGUGCUUAACACAUGCAAGUCGAGCGGUAAGGCCCUUCGGGGUACACGAGCGGCGAACGGGUGAGUAACACGUGAGCAAUCUGCCCUUCUCUUUGGAAUAACCAUUGGAAACGAUGGCUAAUGCCGAAUAUGAACCCCCUUCGCAUGUUGGGGGUUGGAAAGCUCCGGCGGAGAUGGAUGAGCUCGCGGCCUAUCAGCUUGUUGGUGAGGUAAUGGCUCACCAAGGCAUUGACGGGUAGCCGGCCUGAGAGGGUGACCGGCCACACUGGGACUGAGACACGGCCCAGACUCCUACGGGAGGCAGCAGUGGGGAAUAUUGGACAAUGGGCGAAAGCCUGAUCCAGCAACGCCGCGUGAGGGAUGACGGCCUUCGGGUUGUAAACCUCUUUCAGCAGGGACGAAGCGAGAGUGACGGUACCUGCAGAAGAAGGACCGGCCAACUACGUGCCAGCAGCCGCGGUAAUACGUAGGGUCCGAGCGUUGUCCGGAAUUAUUGGGCGUAAAGGGCUCGUAGGCGGUUUGUCGCGUCGGGAGUGAAAACUCAGGGCUCAACCCUGAGCGUGCUUCCGAUACGGGCAGACUAGAGGUAUUCAGGGGAGAACGGAAUUCCUGGUGUAGCGGUGGAAUGCGCAGAUAUCAGAAGGAACACCGGUGGCGAAGGCGGUUCUCUGGGAAUUACCUGACGCUGAGGAGCGAAAGCAUGGGGAGCGAAACAGGAUAGAUACCCUGGUAGUCCAUGCCGUAAACGUUGGGCGCUAGGUGUGGGGACCUUCCACGGUUUCCGUGCCGCAGCUAACGCAUUAAGCGCCCCGCCUGGGGAGUACGGCCGCAAGGCUAAAACUCAAAGGAAUUGACGGGGGCCCGCACAAGCGGCGGAGCAUGCUGAUUAAUUCGAUGCAACGCGAAGAACCUUACCUGGGUUUGACAUAUGCCGGAAAGCUGCAGAGAUGUGGCCUCCUUUUGGUCGGUAUACAGGUGGUGCAUGGCUGUCGUCAGCUCGUGUCGUGAGAUGUUGGGUUAAGUCCCGCAACGAGCGCAACCCUCGUUCUAUGUUGCCAGCACGUAAUGGUGGGGACUCAUAGGAGACUGCCGGGGUCAACUCGGAGGAAGGUGGGGAUGACGUCAAGUCUUCAUGCCCCUUAUGUCCAGGGCUUCAAGCAUGCUACAAUGGCCGGUACAAAGGGCUGCGAAACUGUAAGGUGGAGCGAAUCCCAAAAAGCCGGUCUCAGUUCGGAUUGGGGUCUGCAACUCGACCCCAUGAAGUCGGAGUCGCUAGUAAUCGCAGAUCAGCAACGCUGCGGUGAAUACGUUCCCGGGCCU
rnacentral:rRNA from 1 species